rnacentral:rRNA from 1 species
CCUACGAGUGGCAGCAGUGAGGAAUAUUGGUCAAUGGGCGCGAGCCUGAACCAGCCAAGUAGCGUGAAGGAUGACUGCCCUACGGGUUGUAAACUUCUUUUAUAAAGGAAUAAAGUGAGGCACGUGUGCCUUUUUGUAUGUACUUUAUGAAUAAGGAUCGGCUAACUCCGUGCCAGCAGCCGCGGUAAUACGGAGGAUCCGGACGUUAUCCGGAUUUAUGGGGUGUAAGGGGACGGUAGAUGGGUUGUUAAGUCAGUUGUGAAAGUUUGCGGCUCAACCGUAAAAUUGCAAUUGAUACUGGCAGUCUUGAGUACAGUUGAGGUAGGCGGAAUUCGUGGUGUAGCGGUGAAAUGCUUAGAUAUCACGAAGAACUCCGAUUGCGAAGGCAGCUUACUAAACUGCCACUGACAUUGAUGCUCGAAAGUGUGGGUAUCAAACAGGAUUAGAUACCCGGGUAGUC